rnacentral:rRNA from 1 species
AGCGAACGUUAGCGGCGGGCCUAACACAUGCAAGUCGAACGAGAAUGUAGGCUUCGGUCUACUAGUAAAGUGGCGGACGGGUGCGUAACACGUGGGUAAUCUACCUUCCGGCGGGGGACAACAGUCCGAAAGGAUUGCUAAUACCGCGUACGUCAGCGGCGCCUACGGGCGCUGUUGGGAAAGAUGGCCUCUCCUUGGAAGCUGUCACCGGAAGAUGAGCCCGCGUCCCAUCAGCUAGUUGGUGAGGUAAUGGCUCACCAAGGCUAAGACGGGUGGCUGGUCUGAGAGGAUGAUCAGCCACACUGGGACUGCGACACGGCCCAGACUCCCACGGGAGGCAGCAGUGGGGAAUAUUGGGCAAGGGGCGAAAGCCUGACCCAGCCACGCCGCGUGAGUGAUGAAGGCCUUCGGGUCGUAAAGCUCUGUGGGGAGGGACGAACAAAUCUGGGGCUAAUCACCCGGGUCCUGACGGUACCUCCUUAGCAAGCACCGGCUAACCCUGUGCCAGCAGCCGCCGUAAUAC